rnacentral:rRNA from 1 species
GAUGAACGCUGGCGGCGUGCCUAAUACAUGCAAGUCGAGCGAACAGACGAGGAGCUUGCUCCUCUGACGUUAGCGGCGGACGGGUGAGUAACACGUGGAUAACCUACCUAUAAGACUGGGAUAACUUCGGGAAACCGGAGCUAAUACCGGAUAAUAUAUUGAACCGCAUGGUUCAAUAGUGAAAGACGGUUUUGCUGUCACUUAUAGAUGGAUCCGCGCCGCAUUAGCUAGUUGGUAAGGUAACGGCUUACCAAGGCAACGAUGCGUAGCCGACCUGAGAGGGGGAUCGCCCACACUGGAACUUAGACACGGUCCAGACUCCUACGGGAGGCAGCAGUAGGGAAUCUUCCGCAAUGGGCGAAAGCCUGACGGAGCAACGCCGCGUGAGUGAUGAAGGUCUUCGGAUCGUAAAACUCUGUUAUUAGGGAAGAACAAAUGUGUAAGUAACUAUGCACGUCUUGACGGUACCUAAUCAGAAAGCCACGGCUAACUACGUG